UACGUAGGGGGCUAGCGUUGUCCGGAAUCAUUGGGCGUAAAGCGCGCGUAGGCGGCCCGGUAAGUCCGCUGUGAAAGUCAAAGGCUCAACCUUUGAAUGUCAGCGGAUACUGCCAGGCUAGAGUCCGGAAGAGGAGAGUGGAAUUCCUGGUGUAGCGGUGAAAUGCGCAGAUAUCAGGAAGAACACCCGUGGCGAAGGCGGCUCUCUGGUACGUGACUGACGCUGAGACGCGAAAGCGUGGGGAGCAAACAGG
rnacentral:rRNA from 1 species